rnacentral:tRNA from 1 species
UGCAUCGGCUGGGAAUCGAACCUGGGCCGCCCGCGUGGCAGACGAGCAUUCUACCACUGAACAACCGAUGC